rnacentral:misc_RNA from 1 species
UCCGGCUUACCACCGGCAGUCUCACUAGAGUGCCCGACAUUACUCGCUGGCAACUAAUGACAAGGGUUGCGCUCGUUGCGGGACUUAACCUAACACCUCACGGCACGAGCUGACGACAGCCAUGCAGCACCUGUGCACGAGUCCCGAAGGAAAGCCGGGGUUUCCCCCAGCGGUCCCGUGCAUGUCAAGCCCAGGUAAGGUUCUUCGCGUUGCUUCGAAUUGAACCACAUGCUCCACCGCUUGUGCGGGCCCCCGUCAAUUCCUUUGAGUUUCAACCUUGCGGUCGUACUCCCCAGGCGGGGUACUUCCUGCGUUAGCGCCGGCACCCAGAGGGUCGCUCCCCCAGGCACCUAGUACCCAUCGUUUACGGCGUGGACUAC